AAAUUAAAUAGCUGCAGUAAUUUAACUGUACAAAGGUAGCAUAAUAAAUUGUUAUUUAAAUGAUAACUUGUAUGAAUGAAUUAAUGAAAUAUAAACUUUAUUUAUAUAAUAAAUUGAAUUUUAUUUUUAAGUAAAAAAGCUUAAAUUUUUUAUUGGGACGAGAAGACCCUAUAGAAUUUUAUAUUUAAUAUAAAAUAAAUUUAUUUUAAAUAUUUUUUUGGGGAGAAAUUAAAAAUUAAAUUACUUUUAAUAAUUAUUUAAACAUUUAUAAAUGUUAUUUAAAGAAUUUAAUAAAAAUUAAAUUAAAAAUUAAAUUACCUUAGGGAUAAC
rnacentral:rRNA from 1 species